rnacentral:lncRNA from 1 species
CAGUCUACAUCAGUCCCGAUUAGAAGAUCUUUUGGGGUUCUUUUUGUAAAUUUUUUCUUAGCUGUAAAGGCUGCUGGUUUGUGAAAACUCAGCUGUUGACAUCAGGGAAAAUCACAUGAAAUUACAUGAAAAUGCGCUGACCUGCAGCAAGUGAUUAAGAGUGUGAUCUAUCACCUCCUCAUGCCAGGAGAGACUGCUUUGGUUAGCACCACUCCCUGCACCUGCAGGAGACACACACACAACUGUUUAUUGAUAAAAAGUGAAGAAAGCCUCAGGGCACAUUUGUGUGGUACACAUCAGACUACAGCAUUAAAAAACUUUGCUCCAAUUCCGCUGCAUUUUGGUCCCAUGCUCAGGGAAGAGCAAAGCAGAGCAACACUGAAUGGACUUUACUAAGGCCAAAGUACAAUGGAAAGGAAAAUGAAUAAACAAACAGAAAAGCACAAUAUCCACUACAGAUGAGAAGCAGCAACAUGACAGCUGUAACUACUAACGAGCAUUAUUCAUGGACAGUUUGCACAAAUCCUUCUUCACUGAUAACAAAAAAAAAACACCCACCGAAACCCCAAACCCACCAACUUAAAUCACACUUGGUUCUUUAUAUAAACAGCUUUGAAGUUGGGGUUUUUUUUGGUUCUGGUGGGUUUUGGAAUGUUUUUGUUGGUUUUAUAUCUGACUCUCCAUUUGCAGCUAUUUGAGGCAUUGCUCUAUAACUGGAUCCAGAUAGUGCGAGCUUCACAUUAGUUAGAAAUAAUCUACAAAAGACAUUACCUGGCUUGUUCAACACAUUUUACAUUUAGAAAAAAAAACACCCAUCAUCUGACUCAACUCCUCAGCGCCCGUCUUUAUUAUUAUUAUAUAGAUCCAAAUGGCACUUUAUCACUUUAAAUUUACUUUGAACGCAAGCCAAGAAAUUCCAGCACUCAGCAUUGCUCUGCAUGCCCCAAGUCAGCCAACUUGCUUGUUAUCAGGAAUGAUGCAUGCAGCGUGUGUGUGUGAGACGGGGGAGGAGGAGGAGGAGAGCCGCUCACGGGGAGGGAGCGGUGUGUAUAUUAAGAGCCCGUGCUGGAGCGCGGUUGCCUUUGAGGGUCGGCACUCGCAGGGACCGCCGUGCACAGAGGAGGGGACCGCGGAGCGCCGCACCGCAAGGCAAAAGGGCUGA